rnacentral:rRNA from 1 species
GAUGAACGCCAGCGGCAGGCCUAAUACAUGCAAGUCGGACGGGAUUGGAGAGCUUGCUUUCCAUGAGAGUGGCGCACGGGUGCGUAACACGUAUGUAACCUACCUUUAUCAGGGGGAUAGCCUCUCGAAAGAGAGAUUAACACCGCAUAAAAUCACAGAACGGCAUCGUUUAAUGAUCAAAUAUUUAUAGGAUGAAGAUGGGCAUGCGGGACAUUAGCUAGAUGGUGAGGUAACGGCUCACCAUGGCCAUGAUGUCUAGGGGAUCUGAGAGGAUGGCCCCCCACACUGGUACUGAGACACGGACCAGACUCCUACGGGAGGCAGCAGUAAGGAAUAUUGGUCAAUGGACGGAAGUCCGAACCGGCCAUGCCGCGUGCAGGAAGACGGCCCUACGGGUUGUAAACUGCUUUUGUACGGGAAUAAACCCAGAUACGAGUAUCUGGCUGAAUGUACUGUAAGAAUAAGGAUCGGCUAACUCCGUGCCAGCCGCCGCAGUAA